CGUAAUUACCUUUUAAAGGCCCACUAUGCAACUUUUUUAGCCAAAAUUACAUUAAGUAUGCAGGUUGAGAGUUAUGCUGAUGGUUCUGCAUCCAUUUCUGGGUCGAUUGGUGGGUGUGUCAUUUACCCAUGUCGCCUCUCCAGUGAAAAAGCGCAUAUGCAACUUGAUCUGUUCGGACCGACACAAUCCGGAUGUGACGCAGCGGAAGUAUCCUCGAAAAUGUAGUCAGAUUGUAGUUUCGAAAAUGCUUUACGGCACAGACACACACCCAAACAUGGCACCGGCUAGAUAUAAACAGCCAGUUGCGAGGCAAUUGUUGCAUUCAUCAUGGAUCAAUCGACUAAUGAUCAGCCGACUAAAAAGAGACAGAGAAACCCAAUGUCGGAGGAACAGAAGAAGAGAAAAGGGAGACUGACCGACAGAGAGGCCAGACACGAGUAAACGUUGGGCAAGCUUUUCAGGAAUAGCGUGAACUGAAAGAAAAAGAAGACUGCAAAUCAGACGCCGACUCGGCCGUGUUGCUUUUGAAAUUGAAAGUACCCUUGGGUGAACUUUGUCUUCGUGGUAUUCUUGAUUCUGAUAGUCUCUGUACAAAUGUGUUUGCUCAACCAUUUAGUUGUGAGCCCUGUAAAAAUUGUUUUCUCGACCGUUUUGUUGUGAGCCCUGUAUGUUUCUAGCUUGCUUGCAACCAUAUAAACACCUUUGUUUCCAUGGGUGUUUUGCUGUUCGUCUGUCCCCCAGAUACAGACUGAAUCCCCGAAUCCAGGUUCUUGUUUAUUUCGAUUAUUAUGUUGGCCAAACCUCUUACACUGAUUGUUCUGUUCAACCUAAGAUAAAACAAUUAUAACCUAGGGUAUAAAUUCUCCCGGUGAACUAUAAAAAAGGAUGGAUUUAUGUUUAUUGCAAUGCAAAUACACCCUUUUAAAAAUGUAUAACCUUGCCUACACUUUAUGAACAUCUACUUCGGACAUGGCUCCACGCAUUCGCCGGCUUCUUUGAAAACAAAUGCACAUGGCUCGCGUAGAAGUGCAUGGGGAAGGGACGUCAACGAGUUGUUACGACAGUGUUGUGAAAUAUCUACUACGAAGCUGUAGGGGGCGCUGUGUAGAGUAAUGUGCGUGCCAAAACCAAGAAAACAGCGAAGAUAUUCCCGAAGUUGCAUAGUGGGCCUUUAAGGCCUAGAGCUCGCUGCUCUACUACAGCUCGAUUGUUUGGCAUGGAGAUGUCAUCCUUUUUGAACGGGAGCUUUAGCUGGUAUUGUCCAUCUUUCAUUUUGGCGGAA
rnacentral:lncRNA from 1 species